UACGGGAGGCAGCAGCGGGGAAUAUUGGACAAUGGGCGAAAGCCUGAUCCAGCCAUGCCGCGUGUGUGAAGAAGGUCUUCGGAUUGUAAAGCACUUUAAGUUGGGAGGAAGGGCAGUUACCUAAUACGUGAUUGUUUUGACGUUACCGACAGAAUAAGCACCGGCUAACUCUGUGCCAGCAGCCGCGGUAAU
rnacentral:rRNA from 1 species